rnacentral:rRNA from 1 species
AACGCGAAGAACCUUACCUACCCUUGACAUGUCUGGAAUCCUGAAGAGAUUUGGGAGUGCUCGAAAGAGAGCCAGAACACAGGUGCUGCAUGGCCGUCGUCAGCUCGUGUCGUGAGAUGUUGGGUUAAGUCCCGCAACGAGCGCAACCCUUGUCAUUAGUUGCUACGAAAGGGCACUCUAAUGAGACUGCCGGUGACAAACCGGAGGAAGGUGGGGAUGACGUCAGGUCAUCAUGGCCCUUAUGGGUAGGGCUACACACGUCAUACAAUGGCCGGUACAGAGGGCUGCCAACCCGCGAGGGGGAGCCAAUCCCAGAAAACCGGUCGUAGUCCGGAUCGUAGUCUGCAACUCGACUGCGUGAAGUCGGAAUCGCUAGUAAUCGCGGAUCAGCUUGCCGCGGUGAAUACGUUCCCGGGCCUUGUACACACCG